rnacentral:tRNA from 1 species
GGGGGGGUAGGCGUGGUUACGCUGUUUGCUUUGUAAGCGGAAGGUUCUGGGUUCGAUUCCCAUCUGCUCCU